AGCAAAAUUUUAUUAUUCAAUGGUAACUUUAUGUUAAAUAUGCAAAUGAUUUUUGUGCUGUUGAAAUUCAAAUCGUACACUUUUAAAACCAAUUUUUAUUACUUUUUAGGUUCUUUCUGUGACAUGUUUUCAUGGUGUGGGAAUAAGACUUGGUGGUCUAAAACAGCUAAUAUGUAGGUUAGCAUCACAGCUUGUCUUAGGAUUGAGGCUGGGAAUGGUCAUUGGAGCUGAAAUUUAUGGUAACUUUUACUGUGGCUGCAUAAAAUGAUUGUGUGGUAUAACUAUAAAAAAAAAAUGUAAUUCAGACAAUUUUUGUGUAUGUUUAAGAAAAUGUGUAUAUUUUUUUGCCAAAAAAAAAAAAAAAAAAAAAAAUAUGUAAAGGUUCUCCAUUUUUAACAGGAUUGGGAGUUGUAGAUUAAAUUGUAUUUGAAAUUUUGUACUUUGAAAAAUGUAGUGAAACUGACCCAUUUUACUGUAAGAUCUACUUUAGAUACCAGUAUAUUAAUAAUGGUUCAUAUCUAGUCAAAACACUUUCAGUAGGUUAAGAAUGGAGAUUCUAAAAAGAAAAAGAGAAAAAAAGAAAAAGAAAAAAAUGAAAACAAAAAAUGUUAUUUAUUGCAAUGUAUUUUUUUGAUUUUCACGAAUUUAUAGAUACAGGCUAGUGAUACAGUAGUUGAACUACUUGGACCACUCUGCCACAGAGGUGAGAUUUUAGUACAAAAAUGUACUUAUUAUAUUAUUGAAAUGUGUUGGAUUUUUGUUAUUGAAUUAUUUUUUAAUGUUUAUUAAUCUUUUUUUGGUAAUUUUGUUCAAUGUAGCAAGGAUGUGGAGUCUUAACAGGGUGAAAGUUAUGUCAAAGGGAGGUAAUUUAUUAUACCCCUGUUAACCUCCCUCAGUGCUAGCUUUUAUUUUACUUGGAUAUUUAUGUUUGUAUAACUUUUUUUUUAAAUAUCAGAUGUAUACUAGCUAAUAUUGACUAUUAUUUAGAGCUCUGUAAUUAAAAAAAAAAUUGUAAGCAGAGCUCUAUAUAAUAGAUAUGUAGGGUGGGAGAAAUCAUGGGUAACUAAAAAUGAUUUGGUGUUAUUUUUCAAAAAGGAUCUUAGUUGAAAGUGCAUCUGAUAUUUUUUAUAUACAUAAUUUUAUUUCGAAAAAACAAAUGGACAAAAAUAGAUUGACAAGAAGAUGAGGACAGCCACCUUGGCAGCCAGCAGAGUAGCUCCAUGGAAGAUGGUUAAAUAAAUCUUCAACCAAGUCUGAGGCUCUAAUUAGAAAAUAAUAA